rnacentral:rRNA from 1 species
CAUAUCAAUAAGCGGAGGAAAAGAAACUAACAAGGAUUCCCCUAGUAACUGCGAGUGAAGCGGGAAAAGCUCAAAUUUAAAAUCUGGCAGUCUUUGGCUGUCCGAGUUGUAAUCUAGAGAAGUGAUGCCCGCGCUGGACCGUGUACAAGUCUCCUGGAAUGGAGCGUCAUAGAGGGUGAGAAUCCCGUCUCUGACACGGACUACCAGGGCUUUGUGGUAUGCUCUCAAAGAGUCGAGUUGUUUGGGAAUGCAGCUCUAAAUGGGUGGUAAAUUCCAUCUAAAGCUAAAUAUUGGCGAGAGACCGAUAGCGAACAAGUACCGUGAGGGAAAGAUGAAAAGAACUUUGGAAAGAGAGUUAAACAGUACGUGAAAUUGCUGAAAGGGAAACGCUUGAAGUCAGUCGCGUUAGCUAGAACUCAGCCUCGCUCUUGCGUGGUGUACUUUCUGGUUGACGGGUCAGCAUCAAUUUUGACUGCUGGAAAAAGGCCUUGGGAAUGUGGCAGCUUCGGCUGUGUUAUAGCCCUUGGUCACAUACAGCGGUUGGGAUUGAGGAACUCAGCACGCCGCAAGGCCGGGUUUCGACCACGUUCGUGCUUAGGAUGCUGGCAUAAUGGCUUUAAGCGACCCGUCUUGAAACACGGACCAAGGAGUCUAACAUGCCUGCGAGUGUUUGGGUGGUAAACCCGAGCGCGUAAUGAAAGUGAAAGUUGAGAUCCCUGUCGUGGGGAGCAUCGACGCCCGGACUUGAACUUUUGUGACGGAUCCGCGGUAGAGCAUGUAUGUUGGGACCCGAAAGAUGGUGAACUAUGCCUGAAUAGGGUGAAGCCAGAGGAAACUCUGGUGGAGGCUCGUAGCGAUUCUGACGUGCAAAUCGAUCGUCAAAUUUGGGUAUAGGGGCGAAAGACUAAUCGAACCAUC